UGCUCUGUACCAUCUUUUGUUGCUUUACAUUGGUUUGGUUGGAAGUAUUCCUCAAUUGAAUUUGUUGGUCUGUAGGUACAAUCCACCAAGUAUUUCUCAAGGGUGUAGAAGCAUGGAAUCAAUAUGGAAACGGCAACGAUUCAGUUGAAUACAAGCCUUUACCAAGUGGCCCAACAAAUGGCACGGAAAAGUAGUCAAAUGAAUCUGGUGAUGCAAAGGUACCGAUGCUUCAGAAUGUCCAAUAGGAGGAACUUUGACUUCUAUGCUUUGUAUGGGUUUCAAUCCUUGUUGUUCAAAUUAUUAAGGUCGCUAAUCAGGAAGCUCAAUCUGAGAAAGAUGCUUCUUCGAUAUUAUCAACUUGAAUUGUGUAAGAUCAUCUACCGAAGCAUCAGAUACUACACAUCAAGUGAUUAAAAAUCCUGAAAGAAAACGAAAUGGGGUGAACCAUUAUGAAGUGUUAGUUCAUUUUACCGCAGGUCUAUCAAGUGGGUGGGGUUAGUUCUAUUAGAGCAUAGCUCGGUUGAACCCACCAAGCUUUGGUAUGUCAAGUUUGGUUGUCAUAUUUUAGUGAAUCAAAACUCAUUUAAAGA